UACGUAGGGUGCAGGCGUUAAUCGGAAUUACUGGGCGUAAAGCGUGCGCAGGCGGUUCGUUAAGUUCGUCGUGAAAGCCCCGGGCUCAACCUGGGAAUGGCGAUGGAUACUGUCGAGCUAGAGUCCGGAAGAGGCGGGUGGAAUUCCUGGUGUAGCGGUGGAAUGCGCAGAUAUCAGGAGGAACACCAACGGCGAAGGCAGCCCGCUGGGACGGUACUGACGCUGAGGCGCGAAAGCGUGGGGAGCAAACAGG
rnacentral:rRNA from 1 species